UGGGAAUUAGCUCAGCUGGAUAGAGCAUUCGCCUUCUAAGCGAACGGUCGCAGGUUCGAGUCCUGCAUUCUCAG
rnacentral:tRNA from 1 species